rnacentral:rRNA from 1 species
UUAAAUCAUUAAAUUUAGGAGAUUUGGCGGUAUUUUAUGAAAUUAGAGGAACCUGUAUAUUAAUUGAUAUUCCACGAUAAGAAAAACUUAAAAAUUUAUGUAUUGCUGUUUAAAGAUUAUUAUUAAUUAAAUUUUCGAGUUUUUAAUUUAAUUUAAUUCAAGUCAAAAUAUAGUUUAUUUAAGAUAUGGGUUACAAUUUUAUUUUGAAAUUGGAUUUAAUAGUAA